CAGCUGUGUGUCACAUCGGUGUGGCUUCGGUUUAUCCCGUUGCAUCUCACUGUAUGAAGAGUGUCAGCAAACGCUUUUUGGAGUUUCUUACGCGGCAGUCUAUUCGUGCGGCCCAAGACCGACACCACAGCACCCGUUCAGCUUUUUUGAUCGCCAUCCUCCUGAUGGUCUCGUGCAUGCCGAGCAAGGCCAGCGCCGGAUUAACUUGUGAAGGAUGUAUCCGCUUCACGUCAGAGGGGUGUGGGAUGGGACGCUGCUGCAGCCUGCACACGUACUGAAGGUGUGCCUCCAAAAUACUGUGCUUUGUUCAUGUUGACGGGUGGACUUGGUUGUACAGUUGUCGCCGGCGGAUGUGUCGUCGUUUGUUCAAGGCCAGACUGACAAUGAGCAUUGUAAUGAUUAGAACAUGUGAAUUUUGACGGCUUUACUAUUGCUUGCCUUUCCUCUUUAACAUUCUGUGUUUUGUUUGGCUUAUUGGAGUUAAUUAAAUUAUAGUCUGAGA